rnacentral:lncRNA from 1 species
UUUUUCUAUCUGCGGAGGAGGCCGGUCGGGCAUAGGAGCAUGCAUGAUAGCCUCCAUGAAAGGUAGCAGGUCCUGUGAGCGAGGAGGUCCUCUGUUCUGUGCCGUAUGGUCUUCAUCAUCAUUCCGGCUGUGGUCAUCUGUUGCAUCCCGCUGUUUCUCCUUGAGUUGUUUAAGUUCCUCUGUGAUCUUUAGAUAGGCCUCCUGUUGUUGUAGUAUGAGUUGAUUCUGUCGUUCCAACUGGUCCUGAAGUCGCCUCAUUUGCUCCAUAGGGUCUGUAUUGUUUCCGUCUUUGCUCCUGGUGGUCACCAUAGGGAAUCUUCUACUUCGGCCCCACGGUGGGCGCCAAAAUGUUACGGUGUAAAUUUACUGGGACCGAAGUACUAACCUCGAUGACGUCUUCUUCUGUGUUUCUGCCCGCUUUUCGUGAUUUCUGACCGUACGU